UAAAAAUAAAUUAAAUUAAACUUCCUCGAUACAGAAGGAAAAUUGAACCUUAUGCCUAGUUAUUCCAUGUGAAGUCCUCCGAAUGAGGGGAACAUUGCCCGAAUUAAGGGCCCACCGCCUUAAAGGAAGAGACAUUUAUGAACUUCAUUUUUGUAUUUGUAUCGCUUGGGAUCAGUUUCAUAGCCUUAAAUCUUCACGAUUGGUCAAAAAGGCCCAACCUCUGGUCUCUGUCAUUUUGCCCUUCCGAGCCAUUCAUGCUAACGCUCCCAAGCCAUUCCCACCGUUAGUGGAACAUAAGAUUAGAAAAUGUGAACUGCUACUGAGUGAGUGACAUUCAGAGGAAGCUGCACUGCAAUAAAAAAACAUUGCUUUCAAAAUCAAACUCACAGGAACCAGAUAUUAGCAACAGUCAAACAUGCAAAUAAGAAUUCACUGAGAUGAGGAUGCACUUCAUCUGAGACACACUAGCUUCCUCCCACAAAAGAUAUUUCUGCAAUUUAAAAGCAAGACAUGAAAAGAUCAGAUAAUGAUUUUUAUGGGAUAUUUCAAUUGAUGCGUGAGUGUGAAGAUAUUGCAAGUAUUAGUAUGAAAAAGCUAACAAGAAAAUGGCCAAAAUGAAGGAAUGCAAGGAAUCUAAACAAAACAACAAACAGAUUUUAUACAGAUCCAACCACAACCUAAGUUACAGAUAAGAAACGGAUGAUCUCCUCUACAGACACUAUUUCUAAAUUCUGGCAGUCCUACACGAACCAUGUCCGAGCAAGGGAACAAUAUUUUGCCACUUGAACGUGACAGUAAGGACGUUAUACUUUCCUAUUUCUCAUCUUCUAUCAGACUGUAAAUGAAAGCAUCAUAAGACUAGUCUAAUCAGACAACAAUCACCAAGAAUGCAAAGUUCAAACCCCCAGGCCCAAGCAUCCUAUCAAGCUACAUACCAAAAAUAACACAGUAAAAAAUGUUAGUUGUGCUAUCUUAGAGAUACACUCAGAAAUUUGCAGGAUGCAGAGGAAACCUCAUGAAUGCAAUUUGGCUAUUCUCACCAUCUGAACAUAUAAUUUGUCUAAAUAAUCGCUAAUCAUAUCCUGGGCUACAGCCCUAUUGCAGUACAUCUUCUAAAUAAAAAUACUUUGAAUUUAUAUGUAAUUUGGGCUAUUUCCUCCCAUAUCAUGGUUAAAUGUUUUCUUACAUGCAACAGAAAAAAUAUUUAUUUUUUUUAUUUAGACUAAUAUCUAUGCUGUAUCAUGUACUUUUACAAGAACUGCCAUAUAUCCAUAUUUUAUCAUGCCUAUAUCCCAUUUCCAUAUCCAUGCUUCCUAGAUUAUCACAGAAGCUAUCAUUCUUUGAUCAUAUAAUCAUAUAGCCAUAUAAAUAUAUGCAUAUAUGCCCAUGUCACUCACAUGCCAUCUCGAUGAACUAAUUCCAACCCCUUUAUAGCAUGACAAACCAAUGAAAUCUCCUUGAGACCUCUGCAUAUCCAUUGUUUUGAAAAUACUCUUACAUCUAAUCAUAUUGUUUCAUGUCCUGGUAAUUAAGCUGGUUAAUUCCACCUUCUAAAGGGAGGUGCUGCAGCGCAUUCACUCCUCUUAACAAAAGGUUAGGCCUCUCACAUAUGGCUGGCAUGUUUAAAGACAACUGCUUCACUAUUUCAACUAAAUGGUGACCAUGCCUUUCUUUUAAUCUUUGGCCAAACUGAUUCCUACCAAGCCCUAAGCUACACAAGACUCAGCUCAACUGAGACUCAAUCCAAUAUAAACAAGCUUUAUGGAUCCUUUUUUCCAGUUUGCUUAGUUUACAUUUUCAUUUGAAUACGCCUAAACUACACAUUAGUAAAAAAUUUCAAAUUUUCAACUUAGCUGUAAUUGCAGAAUUGCCAGGGAUCAUAAAAGGGAAAUAUUUAAGAAAGACAAAAGGAAAAUAUUUCCCCUUUACUAAGAAAAUAGGAUAAUUACCAGAGAAGUGAAAUAGACAAUUACUUAACGUAAGGAAAAUAUUUAAGAGAAAACACUUGCAAAAGUGAAAAGCAUGAUAAUUAGACCAUUUCAAGUGCAGGAGGAUAUAAUGCCUGAGGUCUUCACAUAUUAGGCACUCAAAAUAAACAAAUAACUCUUAGAAGUGAAAGGAACAAUGUUACUGACAAUAGGCAUCCUCGAUUUGGCUUUUUCUUCUUCUCUUUUUGUUUCUGUGCUGGUUUAAUAACUACCUUGAUCGCCGAAUCAAAAACAGCUUUCACAUUCUGUUGAGUUUUUGAGCUGCAUUCAAUAUAAUAUGCUGCACCAAUCUGUUUGCGCAGUUCUUCUCCCUGUGAAGUGGUCACAGGUACCAAUCCCGGAUGAUCAGCCAAAUAGUGCUUAUCCUCACGAAGAUCUACAUGUCCAUUUUUGAACCGUGCAUUAGUUUCAAAAAUCUAAAAUGCUUCACAUUGCUGUGCGUAUGAAAACUAUCUAUCUACUUCUGCUAAACCACCUUUGCUUUUCAUCACUAGCAACUAGCAAGCAUGGCAGUGACUAGGCAACCUUACCAUCCAAUUUUUUUUAAAAAAACCAAAACGAAAAAGGGGUGUCUUCACAUUGACAAUUUUCACUGUCAUGCCAUCAGCCUUCUCACUCUUGCAUGACAUUGAACUCGGCAUACUUUGACCACAAUCAAUCACAUUUACCUUCUAAAUGGCUACCAUUCUUUGCCAUAAGAUUGAUUAGCUUUGUAAGAAACUUUAUUCUGGUGGCUACCCUAUGAAUAAACAAAAAAUUGAAAGGAAUUUUCAACCUUGUUAUAUCUGCUUCAUUUAUGAACAAUGAAACUUUGAUGCUGAAGCAAGUAUCUAUAAUAUCAAUACCAACAAUAGCCUUUGAUAUAUCUUGCUAUUAAUUUUCAGUUUUUUCCUAAAUUUAUCUCUCAUUUGCUAAACUUUGACAAUUUAAACCUGGCAAAUGAGACAUUGCCUUGCACUGCAUAGGCCCAAUUGAUUAGAAACUAGAAAAAGAGUAGAGCAUCUGCACAAAUUUGUGAUAGAAAAAUAAUUUGUCCACUGAAUUUAAAGUUGAAAGUUCUUUUUUUUUCCCUGAAGGACAAAAAAAACACCUUCCAGAAUCAUAUGUUUGCGGCAAAACCACAAAAUAAUAACAGAAAAGCUAAAUAAACAAAAAAUACUAUAAACAAAACUCUAAUAGCUCUUUCUUUCUUUAAGCAAUCCGAAUGCAACAAUGGCUUCAUUGAUAUUACGGAACCUCUCCUCUUUCCAAACUCAUAGGAGGGGCACAUUAUAGGCUUAUAUCUUAUAUAAAACAGGAUAGUUAUAACCUUUCGAUUUUUUGCUAUUAUUGCCUUGGUAAGCAAAGAAAAGCGAACUGACAAGUUGGCUAUAAAUGUACUAUGUAACUCUAUUACUCUGACUUAUGAGUUGUCCAAAAGCUAGAACCUAGUUGUCAUGACUUUUCCUAUAGGAUUUCAUUACAUGCAUUAGACAUCUUCAUGUGCCAAUUUCCUAGAGAAACAGAGUUCAGAAAGCAUGUUUAUAGUUGAUAUCAAACUCAUGCAGUUACUAAAGGAGGUUGGACUAAAGAGUAGAUUUUUGGUUUGAAAUAUGAAUGAGUCACUGUCUUAACAUACUUUUAUUGAGAGCAAAUGAUCCUGAAAGAACUUGUAGUUAUUUCACCUGGUCAUGACAGUAUGGGACAGGGAAGAUAAACCUUUCCCUUAUUAAUCAGUAAGGUAUUAACUGGGAAAAAGAAAUUAACAGGUGUAACCUAGAUUACCAUACUGAACAAAAUCACAUAAAAUACAAGCAAAUAACCAAGAAAAAAAAUUAUAAACAGCACUGAUUGAGAAAAAACAAUGAUGAAUGCUAGUAGACUUACCCAAUUUGGUGCCAACCAGUACCACUGGGACUCCUGGAGCAUAAUGCUGAAGCUCAGGAACCCACUUUUUAAGUAUAUUCUCAUAGCUUGCCCGACUAACCAGGGAGAAAGCUAACACGAAAACAUCAGCCCCUCUGUAACUCAAGGGCCUUAAUCUAUUAUAAUCUUCUUGUCCAGCUGUAUCCCAGAGGCCUAAGUUGACCGUGGUUCCUUCAACUACUACGUUUGCACUGAAGUUAUCAAACACAGUGGGUAUAUAAUCAGUAGGAAACUUGUUACUUGUGUAGCAAAUAAGCAUGCAGGUCUUGCCAACAGCUCCAUCUCCCACAGUCACACACUUGAUGAACCUCGAAGCAGUUGAAGCCAUUGAUGAAAAACAAAACAGAGGAAGAAGCUCUUCCAAUCGAAAAGAGAAAAAAAUAUCAGUAGAAGAGCAGUACCCAAAACAAAAACAAAAGGAUUGGUUUCUUGGUAUACAAAUUUAUUAUGUGUCUUUUGGAUGAUUGAUAAGGAGGUGGUGGAUCACAUGAUUCUCACUCAUUCACUUAUACUGUAUCCAAAUUUCUCUCUUUUGCUUUUUGGGGUUCUCUCAAUUUCGUUGUUCUGAUUGGGAAUUUUGGUCGGUUCCUUUUGCUCUUUUCUAAUUUCAUGUAUAUGAUUCUUCUUUAAAGUAGACAGCUUUGUGUAUUUAUCGGUAUUUAGCCCCAGAAUUGAAAGACUUGUUCUGUCCUCAUCAAUCUGUGCACCAGUUUUGUUCUCUUCCACCGCCUUUCGCUCUCUGUCGCGUCUCCUUCGCUAAUGAAAAUGAUUUAUUUAAUAGUUUAUGGUAUAUUCUGUAACAGCAGUAAAAUUAGCAUAUGAC
rnacentral:misc_RNA from 1 species